rnacentral:tRNA from 1 species
GGGCCCGUAGCUCAGUGGUUAGAGCGUACGCCUCCGGAGCGUAAGGUCAUGGGUUCAAAUCCCAUCGGGCCCG